UACGUAGGGAGCGAGCGUUGUCCGGAAUCAUUGGGCGUAAAGAGCAUGUAGGUGGAUCAAUUAGUCUGCUGUGAAAGUCAAAGGCUCAACCUUUGAAAGCCGGUGGAUACUGUUGAUCUAGAGUACGGAAGAGGCGAGUGGAAUUCCUGGUGUAGCGGUGGAAUGCGCAGAUAUCAGGAGGAACACCAAUAGCGAAGGCAGCUCGCUGGGACGUUACUGACACUGAGAAUGCGAAAGCGUGGGGAGCAAACAGG
rnacentral:rRNA from 1 species